GCCUACCGUGGUGUAGUUGUUAACACGUCUGACUCGGCUUGUCAGAAGACAUGGGUUCGAAUCCCAUCAGAGGCG